rnacentral:sRNA from 1 species
GGUGACUGUCACUAGUCACCCCAUCCCUCUGUCACUAGUCACUCCCUCCUAACUGUGUCACCUGCUCCCUCACUCUGUCACUAGUCACCCCUCCCUCACUCUGUCACUAAUCACCCCCUCUGUCCUUAGUGACAUAGUGAGGGAGGGGGUGACUAGUGACUAGUGACAUAGUGAGAGAGGGGGUGACUAGUGACAGAGUGAGGGACGGGGUGACACAGUGACAGAGUUAGGGAGGGAGUGACUAGUGACAGAGAGAGGGAUGGGGUGACUAGUGACAGUCACCCCCUCUCUCACUCUGUCACUAGUCACCCCCUCUCUCACUCUGUCACUAGUCACCCCCUCUCUCACUCUGUCACUAGUCACACCCUCUCUCACUCUGUCAUUAGUCACCCCCUCUCUCACUCUGUCACCAGUCAUCCCUUCCUUCCCUCACU